rnacentral:rRNA from 1 species
GCUCAGAACGAACGCUGGCGGCAGGCCUAACACAUGCAAGUCGAGCGCGCCCUUCGGGGUGAGCGGCGGACGGGUUAGUAACGCGUGGGAACGUACCCAGAUCUACGGAAUAGCCUUUGGAAACGAAGAGUAAUACCGUAUACGCCCUUCGGGGGAAAGAUUUAUCGGAUUUGGAUCGGCCCGCGUUAGAUUAGAUAGUUGGUGGGGUAACGGCCUACCAAGUCUACGAUCUAUAGCUGGUUUUAGAGGAUGAUCAGCAACACUGGGACUGAGACACGGCCCAGACUCCUACGGGAGGCAGCAGUGGGGAAUCUUGGACAAUGGGCGCAAGCCU